GGAAUCUUCCACCAAUGGACGAAAGUCUGAUGGAGCAACGCCGCGUGAGUGAAGAAGGGUUUCGGCUCGUAAAACUCUGUUGUUAAAGAAGAACAUAUCUGAGAGUAACUGUUCAGGUAUUGACGGUAUUUAACCAGAAAGCCACGGCUAACUACGUGCCGA
rnacentral:rRNA from 1 species